AAUAUUGGACAAUGGGGGCAAACCUGAUCCAGCCAUGCCUCGUGUGUGAAGAAGGUCUUCGGAUUGUAAAGCACUUUAAGUUGGGAGGAAGGGCUUUAGGCUAAUACCCUGAAGUUUUGACGUUACCAAUAGAAUAAGCACCUGCUAACUCUGUGCCAGCAGCCGCGGUAAUACAGAGGGUGCAAGCGUUAAUCGGAAUUACUGGUCGUAAAGCGAGCGUAGGGGUUUCAGUAAGAUGGGUGUGAAAUCCCCGGGCUUAACCUGGGAACUGCUUUCAUAACUGCUGAGCUAGAUUACGGUAGAGGGUAGUGGAAUUUCCUGUGUAGCGGUGAAAUGCGUAGAUAUAGGAAGGAACACCAGUGGCGAAGGCGACUACCUGGACUGAUACUGACACUGAGGUGCGAAAGCGUGGGGAGCAAACA
rnacentral:rRNA from 1 species